rnacentral:rRNA from 1 species
AUGACCGGUGAGAGCCGCGACGGCACCUUCAAGAAGGUAACGCGCUACGCCGCCGCCGGUCCGUCCGAGGAUAGAACAGGUUUUCACCCAGCAAACACUCACCGCCACCGAACGACACACCCCUGCCACCAUGCCGCCCACACGGCCAUGGUCACCGGGGAGCACCAAGUCACGGGCUCUGCCCAUGAGCACCGUGCUACUACCACCAGGGCUGCCGCCCCGGCAUCCAAGACCUUGACACCACUGCACCCGAGACCCGUCGCUACCCCAACCAAAGAGACGAGUGAAAAGGUCGCUCCUUUACACACCCCUGGAUGGCCCCCGGCGCCGAGACCCAAAGGGCCGGCCCAAAAAAGGCCUCCAUCACCCGUCCUGCUGCACCGGGUGCAAGACAAGCUCAGUCCUGCUGCCAGGCGCGAGACGAGGUCGGUCCUGCUGCCGGGCGCGAGACAAGCACGGUCCUGCUGCCGGGCGCGAGACGAGCUCUGUCUCGCAUCCACGGGCGCGAGACGAGCAAUGGACCGCAACUAG